rnacentral:rRNA from 1 species
UAGGUGGCUAGCGUUAUCCGGAUUUACUGGGCGUAAAGGAUGCGUAGGUGGAAUUUUAAGUGGGAUGUGAAAUACCCGGGCUCAACCUGGGAACUGCAUUCCAAACUGGAAUUCUAGAGUGCAGGAGAGGAAAGCGGAAUUCCUAGUGUAGCGGUGAAAUGCGUAGAGAUUAGGAAGAACACCAGUGGCGAAGGCGGCUUUCUGGACUGUAACUGACACUGAGGCAUGAAAGCGUGGGGAGCAAACAGGA